GUCUCUGUAGCUCAGUGGCCGUGCGCUGGCCCUGUAACCCAGGGGUCGUGAGUUCAAUCCUCAUAGGAGGCA